UUAUUUGGACACACACUAAUUCUGGUAAUAUCAUUCGAAAUCUGGGUACUAUAUUGCUCAUAAAGAAAAAUAUUCAGAUCAUAUAUAUCCUAUAAUAGCCUUCUCAAAAUCAGAAUGGAAACAAUUUUGAAACAUUGAUAUACCUUCUGAGAUUCGGAUUUUUCUUUGGAGAGCUUUCUAUCAAGCAUUGCCUACUGGUUUUGGCUUAUUAACUAGGUUAGGCAGAGAUUUUCCUUGUGUUCAUUGUGGCGAUGAGGAAAAUUUACAUCAUUUAUUUUUUAUGUGUCGUUUUGCUCAAAAAGUAUGGUUUGCCUCUCCCCUUUCUCUGCGGUCUGAUUCUCUUCUACUAAUAUCUUUUGAUGUAUAGUGGAAACAAUUGCAAACUAGCUUUUCUUUAAUUGAUGAUUCUAGUGCAAAUAUGGAAUUGCUUUGUUUUCUCUUAUGGUAUAUCUAGAAAGCUAGAAACUCCAGAAUAUUUAAGGAUCAGAUAAUUUCAGAACUUCAAACAGUAUCAUUGGCAUUUCAAGCUCAGAUUGAAUAUGCAUUACAAAAACAGGCUUUGAAUGCAGGAUCUACUGAGCAACUUCCAUCAAUUACUACUUCUCAUACUUCGGUAAUUCCUGAAGGUACUAUCAAGCUCAUUUUUGAUGCUGCUACAUCCGCUAAACAUUCUUUUGUUGUUGUAGCUGUGAUGGCUAAAGAUAGUUCGGAUGUAAUCAUUGCUCGAUUUGAUGCUUUGUUUUCGAUAUAUAUGGGAUCCUGGAAUUUUGGAGUUUAUGACUUUAAGGGAAGCAUUGAAUUGGGUAAUUUUUAAGGGUUUGAAGAUUUUAAUUCUUGAAGGUGAUGCUCUCCAGCCGGACCCUGAAGUGCAAGCCCGGCGGAGACCAGGAUAUUAUAGAAACUUUUUCAGGUUCGUUUGAACUAGCUCGGAUUCAACCCCGUUUCUAACUACUGGAUUCGUACCAACAAGAUGAAAAACUUCCGAGUGCAAGACACUCCGGGUCUAUAAAGUUAAAAAGUAUUACUAACCUUUUUCAUGUAUAUAUAUAUAUAUACUGCUCUUGUGUAUGUUUGUAUUGUUUUAACGUUUCUCAAAGCAUUGUCCAUAUCCAAAUUUUAACAAGUUAA